UGAUUGAUUGUGUCUAUGUGUGUUUGUGCUUCUGUUUUCAUAUUGAUAGGUGAGAGUCUCAUAGGAAACGUUACAAUGUUCCACUGUGUGUUUUUGGUUACUCUCCCAUUUGCAAGUUUGGUUAUGUUUUCAUAUUGACGAUGUCUCAUACGAGACGUUACAUAUCAAAGUAUAAGAGAUAACAAGUUUUAAAGAACAUAGUGAACAUAGCAGACUGAAACAUAACAGUCAGACCUCGUCCAUCUGCCUUUGUGUGUGUUUAUGUUUGCAGAUGGACGAGGCCCGACUGUUAUGUUUCAGUCUGCUAUGUUCACUAUGUUCUCUAAAACUUGUUAUCUCUUAUACUUUGAUAUGUUUGAAUCAUUGUUAUGUUUGAGUUUAUGACUUUGUUUUGUUUGGGUUUAUGACGUUGUUAUUGUUGUGUUUGAGUUUAUCAUGCUGAUAUGAUAACAGUUAUAUUAUAACUU
rnacentral:lncRNA from 1 species